rnacentral:rRNA from 1 species
AGUCGAGCGGUAGAGAGAAGCUUGCUUCUCUUGAGAGCGGCGGACGGGAGAGUAAUGCCUAGGAAUCUGCCUGGUAGUGGGGGAUAACGUUCGGAAACGAACGCUAAUACCGCAUACGUCCUACGGGAGAAAGCAGGGGACCUUCGGGCCUUGCGCUAUCAGAUGAGCCUAGGUCGGAUUAGCUAGUUGGUGGGGUAAUGGCUCACCAAGGCGACGAUCCGUAACUGGUCUGAGAGGAUGAUCAGUCACACUGGAACUGAGACACGGUCCAGACUCCUACGGGAGGCAGCAGUGGGGAAUAUUGGACAAUGGGCGAAAGCCUGAUCCAGCCAUGCCGCGUGUGUGAAGAAGGUCUUCGGAUUGUAAAGCACUUUAAGUUGGGAGGAAGGGCAGUUACCUAAUACGUGAUUGUUUUGACGUUACCGACAGAAUAAGCACCGGCUAACUCUGUGCCAGCAGCCGCGGUAAUACAGAGGGUGCAAGCGUUAAUCGGAAUUACUGGGCGUAAAGCGCGCGUAGGUGGUUCGUUAAGUUGGAUGUGAAAUCCCCGGGCUCAACCUGGGAACUGCAUUCAAAACUGUCGAGCUAGAGUAUGGUAGAGGGUGGUGGAAUUUCCUGUGUAGCGGUGAAAUGCGUAGAUAUAGGAAGGAACACCAGUGGCGAAGGCGACCACCUGGACUGAUA